UGUUUAAUUAGUAUAACAAAGUACUUUUAAUUUCCAAUUAAAAAGUUUAAAUUUAAAAAUUAAACAA
rnacentral:tRNA from 1 species